AGGUCCCAAAGUGCGUGUUAAGUGGAAAAGGAUGUGGGAUUUCGAAGACAACUAGGAUGUUGGCUCAGAAGCAGCCACACAUUAAAAGAGUGCGUAAUAGCUCACUAGUCGAGAGGUCCUGCGCCGAAAAUGUCCGGGGCUAAAACACAACACCGAAGCUUAGGAAUUCUAAUGAAUUGGUAGAGGAGCAUUGAAGACGGAACGAAGCCAUACCGAAAGGAAUGGUGGACUGUCUUGAAGAGAGAAUGCCGGAAUGAGUAGCGAGAUUGAAGUGAGAAUCUUCAAGGCCGAAUAUCUAAGGUUUCCAGGGUAAAGCUGAUCUGCCCUGGGUAAGUCGGGGCCUAAGGCAAGGUCGAAAGACGUAGUCGAUGGAUAACAGGUUGAAAUUCCUGUACUGCAUCAAAUCAGAAAUGUGGGGACACAUGAGGGAAGCAUGAGCCGGAAAAGGAAAGUCCGGUACAAGCGCAGCAGAGGACAGAUAGGCAAAACCGUCUGUCAACUCAAGGGCGCGAUGUGGAGCGAACCAAAGUAGCGAAGCAUGUGGAGCUUGUGUCGAGAAAAGCCGCUAUAGUGUUUGAUGUACCCGUACCGUAAACCGACACAGGUGGAUGAGGAGAGAAUCCUAAGGCCGGCGGGAGAAGCAUUGUUAAGGAACUCGGCAAAAUGACCCCGUAACUUCGGGAGAAGGGGUGCUCCAGAGAUGGAGCCGCAGAGAACUGGCCCAAGCAACUGUUUAGCAAAAACACAGGUCUAUGCAAAACCGAAAGGUGAGGUAUAUGGGCUGACGCCUGCCCGGUGCUGGAAGGUUAAGAGGAGAGGUUAGAGCAAUCGAAGCUUUGAAUUGAAGCCCCAGUAAACGGCGGCCGUAACUAUAACGGUCCUAAGGUAGCGAAAUUCCUUGUCGGGUAAGUUCCGACCCGCACGAAAGGCGUAAUGAUUUGAGCGCUGUCUCGACAAUGCACCCGGUGAAAUUGAAAUACCAGUGAAGAUGCUGGUUACCUGCGCCAGGACGGAAAGACCCCAUGGAGCUUUACUCUAGCUUGAUACUGGGAUUCGGUAUUGCAUGUACAGGAUAGGUGGGAGACGAAGAAGUGAUGACGCCAGUUGUCACAGAGUCGAUGUUGGGAUACCACCCCUGCAGUACUGGGUUUCUAACCUGCAGCCAUGACCUGGCUGGGGGACAAUGUCUGGUGGGGAGUUUGACUGGGGCGGUCGCCUCCGAAAGAGUAUCGGAGGCGCUCAAAGGUUCCCUCAGAAUGGUUGGAAACCAUUCGAAGAGUGCAAAGGCAGAAGGGAGCUUGACUGCGACACCGACGGGUGGAGCAGGUACGAAAGUAGGACUUAGUGAUCCGGUGGUAUAAAGUGGGAUUGCCAUCGCUCAACGGAUAAAAGCUACCCUGGGGAUAACAGGCUUAUCACUCCCAAGAGUUCACAUCGACGGAGUGGUUUGGCACCUCGAUGUCGGCUCAUCGCAUCCUGGGGCUGUAGCAGGUCCCAAGGGUUGGGCUGUUCGCCCAUUAAAGCGGUACGCGAGCUGGGUUCAGAACGUCGUGAGACAGUUCGGUCCCUAUCCGGCGUGGGCGUAGGAUAUCUGAGAGGAGCUGUCCUUAGUACGAGAGGACCGGGAUGGACUGACCUCUGGUGCACCGGUUGCAUUGCCAAAUGCAUAGCCGGGUAGCCAAGUCGGGACGGGAUAAACGCUGAAGGCAUCUAAGCGUGAAGCCCCCCUCAAGAUGAGAUAUCCCAUAACAUAAGUUAGUAAGACCCCUUGA
rnacentral:rRNA from 1 species